rnacentral:tRNA from 1 species
GCCUGUGUAGCUCAGUGGUAGAGCACUUCCUUGGUAAGGAAGAGGUCCCGGGUUCAAAUCCCGGCACCGGCU